rnacentral:rRNA from 1 species
UACGGAGGGGGCUAGCGUUGUUCGGAAUUACUGGGCGUAAAGCGUGCGUAGACGGUUAUUUAAGUCGGGUGUGAAAGCCCCGGGCUCAACCUGGGAAUUGCAUUCGAGACUGAAUAGCUAGGGUACGGUAGAGGGAAGCGGAAUUUCCGGUGUAGCGGUGAAAUGCGCAGAUAUCGGGAAGAACACCCGUGGCGAAGGCGGCUCUCUGGGACGGUACUGACGCUGAGACGCGAAAGCGUGGGGAGCGAACAGG